rnacentral:other from 1 species
UUCACCCUGCGCGGUUCGAUUUGUUGCGGCCUUAUAGAAUCCUACUAAUCAAAUUUUGGGAACCCGGGUCGAGGACCGGAUUGCAGACCUCCCGCUUCGGCGGAAGAAGGGAGCAUGAACGCUCUUGUAGGGUACCCACCUGCCUGUACCGGUAGGUUUUGAUUGGUUGCAGACGGCUGUGCGGGGUUUUU